GACGAACGCUGGCGGCGUGCUUAACACAUGCAAGUCGAACGGAAAGGCCCUGCUUUUGUGGGGUGCUCGAGUGGCGAACGGGUGAGUAACACGUGAGUAACCUGCCCUUGACUUUGGGAUAACUUCAGGAAACUGGGGCUAAUACCGGAUAGGAGCUCCUGCUGCAUGGUGGGGGUUGGAAAGUUUCGGCGGUUGGGGAUGGACUCGCGGCUUAUCAGCUUGUUGGGGGGGUAGUGGCUUACCAAGGCUUUGACGGGUAGCCGGCCUGAGAGGGUGACCGGCCACAUUGGUACUGCGAUACGGCCCAGACUCCUACGGGAGGCAGCAGUGGGGAAUAUUGCACAAUGGGCGGAAGCCUGAUGCAGCAACGCCGCGUGCGGGAUGACGGCCUUCGGGUUGUAAACCGCUUUCGCCUGUGACGAAGCGUGAGUGACGGUAAUGGGUAAAGAAGCACCGGCUAACUACGUG
rnacentral:rRNA from 1 species